CACGUAGGGCGCAAGCGUUGUCCGGAAUUAUUGGGCGUAAAGAGCUCGUAGGCGGUCUGUUGCGUCUGCUGUGAAAACUCGGCGCUUAACCCCGAGCCUGCAGUGGAUACGGGCAGACUAGAGGUAGGUAGGGGAGAAUGGAAUUCCCGGUGUAGCGGUGAAAUGCGCAGAUAUCGGGAGGAACACCGGUGGCGAAGGCGGUUCUCUGGGCCUUACCUGACGCUGAGGAGCGAAAGCGUGGGGAGCGAACAGG
rnacentral:rRNA from 1 species